UACAAAGGAAGUUGACGGGGCCGCACAAGCGGUGGAGCAUGUGGUUAAUUCGACGCAACGCGAAGAACCUUACCAGGGCUUGACAUCCCCUGACCGCGUACGAAAGUACGAAUUCACCUUCGGGUGACAGGGAGACAGGUGGUGCAUGGUUGUCGUCAGCUCGUGUCGUGAGAUGUUGGGUUAAGUCCCGCAACGAGCGCAACCCCUACGUUUAGUUGCUAACGCGUGAAGGCGAGCACUCUAGACGAACUGCCGUUGACAAAACGGAGGAAGGUGGGAUGACGUCAAAUCAUCAUGCCCCUUAUGUUCUGGGCUACACACGUGCUACAAUGGCCGGUACAGACGGACGCAAAGCCGCGAGGUGGAGCAAAUCCUAAAAAGCUGGCCUCAGUUCAGAUUGCAGUCUGAAACUCGACUGCAUGAAGUCGGAGUUGCUAGUAAACGCAGGUCAGCUAUACUGCGUUGAAUACGUUCCCGGGGCUU
rnacentral:rRNA from 1 species